rnacentral:rRNA from 1 species
CCGCCUGCCCUGUGACAUUGUUUAACGGCCGCGGUAUUAUGACCGUGCGAAGGUAGCGUAAUCACUUGUCUUUUAAUUGAAGACCUGUAUGAAAGGCAUCACGAGAGUUUACCUGUCUCUAUUUUCUAAUCAAUGAAAUUGAUUUCCCCGUGCAGAAGCGGGGAUAUCACCAUAAGACGAGAAGACCCUAUGGAGCUUUAAACACUUAAGUUAUUACCUUACUUAUCAAUUAAUCUAAAGACCUAACCUACCCUAAUAGUAGCCUAACUUAAUGUUUUCGGUUGGGGCGACCAAGGAGUAAAAGAAAACCUCCUUAUCGAUUGAGUAUUUUUACUUUAAAAACCAGAACGACAGUUCUGAUCAAUAGAAUAUCUAACGAAUAAUGACCCAGGGUUAUACCCUGAUCAAUGAACCAAGUUACCCUAGGGAUAACAGCGCAAUCCUUUCUAAGAGUCCAUAUCGCCGAAAGGGUUUACGACCUCGAUGUUGGAUCAGGACAUCCUAAUGGUGCAACCGCUAUUAAGGGUUCGUUUGUUCAACGAUUAAUAGUCCUACGUGAUCUGAGUUC